UUCGCAAUGCCCGAAAGGGUGACGAAGCGACGCCGCGUGUGGGAAGAAGGCCUUCGGGUUGUAAACCACUGUCGGGAGUUAAGAAAUGCAAGGAUAUGAAUAGUGUCUUUGCUUGACUAAGGCUCCGGAGGAAGCCACGGCUAACUCUGUGCCAGCAGCCGCGGUAAUACAGAGGCGGCAAGCGUUGUGAUUCGGAAUUAUUGGGCGUAAAGAGCACGUAGGCGGCUAUGUAAGUCGGUUGUGAAAGCCUUCCGCUCAACGGGAGAACAGCAUCCGAUACUACAUGGCUUGAGUGCGGGAGGGGAGAGUGGAACUUCUGGUGGAGCGGUGAAAUGCGUAGAUAUCAGAAGGAACGCCGGCGGCGAAAGCGGCUCUCUGGCCCAUAACUGACGCUGAGUGUGCGAAAGCUAGGGGAGCAAACGGGAUUAGAUACCCCGGUAGUCCUAGCCGUAAACGAUGGGCACUAAGUAGAGGGGUA
rnacentral:rRNA from 1 species